UGCGUAGGGAGCAAUCGUUAAUCGGAAUUACUGGACGUAAAGCGCGCGUAGGAGGCUUGAUAAGCCGGUUGUGAAAGGCCAGGGCUCAACCUGGGAACGGCAUCCGGAACUGUCAGGCUAGAGUGCAGGAGAGGAAGGUAGAAAUCCCGGUGUAGCGGUGAAAUGCGUAGAGAUCGGGAGGAAUACCAGUGGCGAAGGCGGCCUUCUGGACUGACACUGACAAUGAGGUGCGAAAGCGUGGGUAGCAAACAGG
rnacentral:rRNA from 1 species